rnacentral:lncRNA from 10 species
CUGAGAUAUGCUGCUACUUUACCCUUUUGCUCCUGGAAUUACAAAGUGGAAGGACAGAUGAUUUUCUCUGCAAUAUGGUAAGGGUACAGAAUGCACACACACACACACACACAAACACAUUAUCAAAACCUUUACCUGUCCCAUAUUAUAGUAUGAGACCAGCAGAAUGGACCUGGUUCAAGUGGUUGUGAUAAUCUACAAAGAUCCUGAGAUGACUCGAGCAGAUGGUUAUCCUAUAACCAAUCCAGUCCUCUAAUGAAUGCAAUAGAGCAGAUUUCACAGUAGGAAGCAAUGGGAAAUGGGAGGUGGGUUCAGAAAAUAGGGGCUGCUGAGAUUGUUUAUCAGCUGAGUGACCCCAAGCAAAUUACUUACUUAAUCUCUUCUCCAGAGACUUGCCAAGGGGUGAAGCAAUUCAGCAGCUAGCAUUAGAUGCAGCCUCCAGUACUCAAAGAGAGUUUGAAUUCAAAGACUAAAAAAAGUUCACAAACACCCGGUAGUUAUUUGUAAACCACCACACUCAGAAAACACUCAAAAGAUAGGCUAAAAAUUCUGGAAACCAACAAAAGCAGACUGUUAUUUAAAAGAAUGGGCCAGGUGUGGUAGCUCACCCUGGUUCUACUUUUUAAAUGCAUCCUGCAACUAUCCCGUUCUAUGUCCACUGCCAUAUCCUGCCCUAUCUGCGAUGAUCCUUCUCAAGAAGGGAGACAAACACUUCCUUACUGGUCCCUUCUUUGUGACUCUCUAUUCUCUACAGAGUAGCCAGGGUAACCUUUUAUUUAGAAAAAGAAUCUUUGCUUGUCACUUUCUGUUUUAAGCCUUCAAUGGUGUCCCACCACCCUUUUUUU